GCUGGCGGCAGGCUUAACACAUGCAAGUCGAACGAUGACUCUCUAGCUUGCUAGAGAUGAUUAGUGGCGGACGGGUGAGUAACAUUUAGGAAUCUGCCUAGUAGUGGGGGAUAGCUCGGGGAAACUCGAAUUAAUACCGCAUACGACCUACGGGUGAAAGGGGGCGCAAGCUCUUGCUAUUAGAUGAGCCUAAAUCAGAUUAGCUAGUUGGUGGGGUAAAGGCCCACCAAGGCGACGAUCUGUAACUGGUCUGAGAGGAUGAUCAGUCACACCGGAACUGAGACACGGUCCGGACUCCUACGGGAGGCAGCAGUGGGGAAUAUUGGACAAUGGGGGCAACCCUGAUCCAGCCAUGCCGCGUGUGUGAAGAAGGCCUUUUGGUUGUAAAGCACUUUAAGCAGGGAGGAGAGGCUAAUGGUUAAUACCCAUUAGAUUAGACGUUACCUGCAGAAUAAGCACCGGCUAACUCUGUGCCAGCAGCCGCGGUAAUACAGAGGGUGCGAGCGUUAAUCGGAAUUACUGGGCGUAAA
rnacentral:rRNA from 1 species